UCAGUUUCUCUGUACAUUUACAUUUAGGUACAUCAGAACUGGGCUUCUAUAUAUAAAACAGCCUGGAACAUUGGCAGUCAGGUCCUAGAGAGAGCAACAUCCACUGUGCAGCUGAAGGACGGGGAGAAAGGUGAAUUAAGGAGGUUUUGGAGAUUGCUAACUAGUCAUUGAAUAUUCCAUCUCAUAUAGUUCCCAGGAACAAACUUGACAGAAAUGGGGAAGUUACCACAGUUCGGACUAUGUGUGAUUUAUGCCUGGAAUGGAACGGAUUGCGAAGAAUCAUCAGGGAACCUGAAAGAUCAGGGCUUCUAACCAGGGAGCCUGACAGUUGUCUUUCCCAAAGCUGUAAGAAGUGACAUGUUACUCCUUGAAGAACUCAUGGGGCAGAGCACAGGGACUGUCUUGUGAAUCAUCUAGCUGACCAAGGGGCUUAUGGUGAUCAGA